ensembl:lncRNA
GCCCGCCCCGGGUCCCCGCAGCAGCCUCGGUGCCCCGAGUGCGUCGGCACCGCCCGCCCGGCCUUGGCGCGGCCGCGGUGACUCGGGCCCGGCUCUAGCUGCCCGUCCCCCUCGACUGUCGGCUCCGUGUGUCUGCUGAUUUGGCUGCAUCUGUCCUGCAUAUUUAUGGUCGCCUGUCACUGUCACAUUCCCUGGCCGUUGACAGUUUCCAAAGCACUUGGGCCAGAAGAAACUCGGGAUUUGGGGAGUUCAUAACAGGUGGAGGCGCUGAAGGGAGGCGACCCGCCCGGGACUCAGCCCGACGAGGCGGGAGCUCUAGGAGUUGCUGGCGACUCUGUCGGGAACAGUGUUGGGAGGUGGCCCGUGGCUGCCAGGGUGUCCUUGCUGUCAACUGCUGGACUCGGAGCGGGACCUGUGCCCCGCCCCGAGCACAGUGUGGAGGCCGCUCGCUUAAGGGUCCUGCAAGUGAAGGUGCUGGGGCUGGGGGACUUUAGUCACCCGCUUCUCACGUGAUUGCUGCGCCCUCCAGCUAGGCGGACAGUGACUCCUCUUUCUCCAGAGCCAACUUUGGAUCUUUCUCACCUGUGCUUUUGUAACCUUUUGAUUAGCAAAAGCAAGACGAAUUGUUCCCGGAACACUUAAGCUGCCUGGAAACUUACUUACAAGAAAAAUCGAGCGUUAAUUCAUCAGGGACAUCCUGAGGGUUUUGCUGUCGGGCCAGUUAACUGAUUGCAAAUUCUCCCCAAGUUUAAAACUAGGUGAGCUGCUUUGGGGAGCAGCCUGAGAUCAGGGCUCGGUGGUCUGACAGCUGAGCAGGAGGCCCGGGUAAGGGAUCAUGGUGGACUUACAAAGCCUGGCAGGUAGGAGCUGACUUUCACCUUGGCGGGGACAGGAGGAACCAAUCACUGCAGCCUUUGGAACCUCCUCAUCCUCAGUGAAACAGGACAGCUCACAGGAUUGCGUUCCUAAACUUUAUUCCUAAGACCAUUCCCCAUAAAGUUCUGUUUGGGUCAGGUUGUUUGGGGUUAAAACUGAGCCUUACUGAACCAAUUAAAAACAUGCCGGAGUCAAAUUACAUAAAUCAUUUUGAAAAUUAAGAUACUGACAACCCUAUGGUCUCUAAAGGUUCUUUCCUGCUCAAUUUAUAUUACUCUUCUAUCUUUAGUGUAAAAUCAUCUUCAUCCUAUUAUGUACUGAUUAUCAAGAAGAAAGUGUUCUUUUAUUGCUUGUUGAUGUCAGUUUCUCUUUUAUUGGCUUGUUGCUCCUUCCUUUAAGUCAUGGGCUGGAAGGGACAGAAUCUCAUUUCCUCCACUAAAGCAGCCACUUGUACUAACGGGUUUUUCUCAUUCUGUAUGUCAGGCCUAGGGAAAGACAUUGUGUUUUAAAGGCUAUGGCUUUUUUUUUUUUUUUUUCAAAUAAUAAGCAAGGCAAGGAGAGAAGUAACCAUGCUCAGCCUAGGGACUGUAAGUGUUCUGAUAAGUAAGAGGAACAAGGUAGAAACAUGGGAAAGUUGAAGGGUUUGUAGCUGCUCUUCAAUUAGAUCGUUUCACCAGAACUGCAUUAUUUCACCUGAUGUGUUGUGAAACUGCACAAUCUCAAACCCACCCUGAAGUCAUCAACUACUAAGAUAUGUUUUUGUUUUGGGUUUUUUUUGGUACCUGGGAUCGAACUCGGGACCUUGUGCUUGCAAGGCAGGUGCCGGAACCACUGAGCUAAAUCCCUGCCCCUAAGAUGUAUUUUUAAAACAAACACGAAUAUAAUUUUUUCUGUUGACGCUGUCCACCUGUGUAAAUAAUGAUAGUUACAUAUUUAGUUUGUUUACAGAAAAUUGAUUUUCUUAAGUUACUACAACCUAUUGUACUUACUCAAGGUUCAGGAAAAGAUACUUUCAAAUAUGUGUUCUGAAUCUUCAAAAUAUUAAGUUAUGGCUGAGGCAAGAAGAUUACAAGUUUGAGGACAGCCUAGGCAACGUAGACCCUGUCUCAAAAAAAAGACAGAAAAAUCAGCAAAUCUCAGCGGAAGGAAUAGCACAGCAUGAUGCAAAGAACCCUGGUCUUGUAGUUUCAGUCCUUGGGGAAGAUACUGUCUUGGCCGCAUACUUAACUGUGUGACUCUGGAAAGAUAUUCAUUCUGGCCAUCAGACCCUUCAUUGGUAAAUAAUGCAAUGUCUCUUCCAUAACCAGAGUUAGAAAAAAUACUGUUUCCUUUCUUCUUUCCCUUUUAUGGUAACUUUGAAUGCUUCCUUUUGUUUAGACUGAAGUUUUCAUUUUUCAAUUAUAAAGCAACUUAUUUCUUAACUGCAUUUCUGGUGUAUUCACCCCCCAAAUGUUUGAAAUUAGUUUCCUACAUUUUUCCUGAGUACUGUAAUUAAAACAUCAAAUGCUUUAAUGAAAGAGCUGUGAGUCAUGAAAACACCUAGAUUCUCUUUGACUCUCCAACUAAAAAGUCUUUGAACACAUGAGCUCAAGUGAUCUCUUUCUCUUUCAUUUUCCCAAAAUGAGCAUUGGAUUAGACUCUAGUGGCCACUUCUAGCUCCAGAAGUUUAUGCUCAUCUAUUCAAACUCCUUUUUAGAUUCUCAAACUCCUGGAUUAAGAACAGCUGUAUAGGCCUGUUCUAUCAAGAUUUGAAGGAAAGCAUGAAAUCCUUAAUUAGAGAGCUCUUUUGUAAUUAGUUCUAAAAUUUGAGUGCAGAGAAUUGAAAUGCUGUCACUGUAUUGACAACCCAUCAGAAGCAUGUAAGUCUCUAUGCAGCUUCUUUAUGGUCUGUGCAUUGGCUCUUUAUCCUUUGGCCUGAAGGAUUUUCACUCACCUGGUCUCCAAAGCUCCAGCUUUCACCUCAGGCCUCAGGGUUUCUGCAUUGUGAGUAAGUUUCCCUGUUUGUACCAAUGCAUGCCUUUGUCUAAGAACAUUGCCUGAAGGUGACAGUAAACAGCACUGGAAAUAGUAUUUGAGAUGCUUACUGUAAUACAGUCCAUUUUGGUCAUAUAGUUGCAGACACUGAAUAGAGUACAGUUUUGUUUAUAUCUGUAUUUCUUAAUUGAAAAUGUAUUUUGGCAGUCCAUGAUGUCUGUUUUCUGAACCAUAAAAGCCACAUGUCUAAUUCAUAAACUAUAGUCCUGAAUUUAAUUUACUCACCAUUUUAUCUUCAAGGAGAAAAAUACGAUUUGAGGUUUUAAAUAAAUGUGAAAUGCUUUGCCACAGAGAUUCUAAAGAAAUAAAAUACACUGCUGGGCCCAGCACAAGCCUUCACACUGAAUUUGUAUUUCUGAAGGACACCGGCUCAGCUUAUUUCACAGAUUGAAUAAAGUGCCUUUGGUUCUAAUGUACCUGUUACAAUUUAACUAAAAUAGUCAUGAGCAAAGUCUUAUUUCUAAAAGCAUUUCUCUGGCAUGAGACUAUGUGACUGAAACCAUUAUAAGUAGAAUUUACAGAAAAUUAUACUUUGUUCAAAGGAAUGUUUUAUAAAGAUAUUUUGAGUGCCUAAAGGUGAGUUCUGUUUAUAUAAGAAGAAUGUGUGGUCAUAAAUCCAUGCUGUGCUGGCUAAUAGGACAUUUUUUUUCAUAAUCAGAUACAUGUUUAUUUUAUAUUGGAUUUUAAACUUCUGGAAAAUUCCAAAAUCCAAAUGAAAAGGACCUUGGUGAUGACUUAGCAAGCUCCUAAUUCCAAGUUUCUCUCUUUGAAGAGAAAGAACGUUGUUCUUUUUUCAUCACAAAAACAAAAAAGACAUGUCAUGCUUAGAACAGUUUUAAUCAUUUAGUCAGUUAAUUAACAACGGAUUGUUAAACUCAGAUCUUCCAGUAAAUUUGUUACUAAUGGUCAAAAAUCUCCCUUUAUAAUUCCAGCUAGCAAAGGCUUUCAUUUUAAAAUUCAGAAAGCAGAGGAGAGCUUAUUAACCCCCCCACCCCCCGUGUUACUAGCUCUUUUGGGUUUUGUUUUUCAGAAUAUCUUAUUACCCUACUUCUUUUGGCUAUUCAUAAAAUAGUUGCUGAUAAUCAGAAGACUUUAUGUAAUAUUUGGGAUAACUUUUGACCCUUUCCUAGUAUUUCUAGUUUAACUUUCAUGGAUUUUGAUAACUGAGUCAUUUUUCUCUUUACUCUGCCUUUAAGUUCUUUUGAGCUGUCGUCUUUUAUAUUUUGGUUUUAUUCUCCACAUUAGUCAGUUUUUCCAUUAAAAUAUCUUUCCAGUAUCUUCUGAGUUACUGACCUGUGAAUGCACGCUCUGACUCUUCAGAAAUGUAUUAUUUAGGUGUCAUCGUCAAAUAAUCCAAUUAUUUGUCUGUUGUCUUGAUGACCCAAAGUCAUUGCAAAUGCAUAAUAAAUUUUCGGAUUCUCAAAGUAAUUCACUUGGUUUCUCCUUUCCAGCUUUUAUUAAUUUGUUUACUUGAUUUCAGGCCUUAGCAAAUUGCUCUUUUACAUGCAUCUAUUAUAGUUCCCUCUUUUUGAUUUUAAAUUUAUGUUUAUAUGCAAAAUACUUCUGUUAUUUCUGACACUUUUCAGCUUGGUAUCAAUUUUAAAUAAUAAACUACUAUUACCUGUUUACCAUCUGGAUUCUGAAUAAAUGCUAUAACUUAGGUAUAUUCUUUCAUGUAGGAGAACACCACUGUGUUUCAUUUUUCAAACAGCAAUAAAAAGAAAAUAUGUAUUGUGGCUUUAACAAAUAUUUAUUUAUUUAUUUUGGUUUUUUUUGAGACAGGGUCUCACUAUGUAGUUCAGGCUGGCCUAGAACUUGCUAUGUAGCACAGGCUGGCCUCAAACUCACAAUGAUUCUCCUGCCUCAACCUCCUGAGUGCUAGGAUAGCAAAUAUUUGUUUUCUUAGGAUAGUUUUAUGUUCCUAAUGGUGUGCUGCCCUACCUGACAGUAAUAUUAAUUCACAUUCCCCUGAGCAUAGGCCCACUGAUGUAUGCUGGGGUUAAAAAUUUCACAUGCAUAAUUCACAAAUCAAUAUUUGAUUGCUAAGAAAACGGAGGCUAAAUUAGACACCAGUCAUCAACUCUUAAAUUUUGCUCUCAUUUUUCAUCCAUUGUAUUUAGCUAUGUGAUAACACUAAUUAUUUAAGUGAAAGUUUAUUUCUAG